rnacentral:rRNA from 1 species
UUAAAAAGCUCGUAGUUGGAUCUCGGCAGGCUUGGGGCGGUUUGCUUGACUAGUAUUACUGCCCUAUAGUCUGUAGUUUUGCCAGAGGUUUUAGGGUGCUCUUAAUCGAGUGUCCUGGGAUGCUGGCAGGUUUACUUUGAAAAAAUUAGAGUGCUCAAAGCAGGCUUUUACGCCUGAAUAUUCGUGCAUGGAAUAAUAGAAUAGGAAGUCGUUUCUAUUUUGUUGGUUUUCGGAAAUCGACUUAAUGAUUAAUAGGGACAGUCGGGGGCAUUUGUAUUCAAACGACAGAGGUGAAAUUCUUGGACCGUUUGAAGACAAACUACUGCGAAAGCAUUUGCCAAGAAUGUUUUC